rnacentral:rRNA from 1 species
UGGGGAAUAUUGCACAAUGGACGGAAGUUUGAUGCAGCGACGCCGCGUGGAGGGUGUAGGCCUUCGGGUUGUGAACUCCUUUUUCUCGCGAAAAAGGCACAGUUUUGGCUGUGUUGAUGGUAGUGGGGGAAGAAGCGCCGGCUAACUACGUGCCAGCAGCCGCGGUAAUACGUAGGGCGCGAGCGUUGUCCGGAUUUAUUGGGCGUAAAGAGCUCGUAGGUGGUUCGUCGCGUCUGUCGUGAAAGCCAGCAGCUUAACUGUUGGUCUGCGGUGGGUAGGGGCGGGCUUGAGUGCGGUAGGGGGGACUGGAAUUCCGGGUGUAGCGGUGGAAUGCGCAGAUAUCAGGAGGAACACCGAUGGCGAGGGCAGGUCACUGGGCCGUUACUGACACUGAGGAGCGAAAGCGUGGGGAGCGAACAGG